GUGCUUAUUUAACCCACGCAUAACCUAAAAAUGGAAUGAUACAAAGAAUAUUACCAUGAAUCCUGAACAAGGAUGACAUUUUUGUGAAGCAUUUCAUAGAUUC
ensembl:snRNA U6 U6 spliceosomal RNA